AGUCGAGCGGAAACGAGUUAUCUGAACCUUCGGGGAACGAUAACGGCGUCGAGCGGCGGACGGGUGAGUAAUGCCUAGGAAAUUGCCCUGAUGUGGGGGAUAACCAUUGGAAACGAUGGCUAAUACCGCAUGAUGCCUACGGGCCAAAGAGGGGGACCUUCGGGCCUCUCGCGUCAGGAUAUGCCUAGGUGGGAUUAGCUAGUUGGUGAGGUAAGGGCUCACCAAGGCGACGAUCCCUAGCUGGUCUGAGAGGAUGAUCAGCCACACUGGAACUGAGACACGGUCCAGACUCCUACGGGAGGCAGCAGUGGGGAAUAUUGCACAAUGGGCGCAAGCCUGAUGCAGCCAUGCCGCGUGUGUGAAGAAGGCCUUCGGGUUGUAAAGCACUUUCAGUCGUGAGGAAGGUGGUGUAGUUAAUAGCUGCAUUAUUUGACGUUAGCGACAGAAGAAGCACCGGCUAACUCCGUGCCAGCAGCCGCGGUAAUACGGAGGGUGCGAGCGUUAAUCGGAAUUACUGGGCGUAAAGCGCAUGCAGGUGGUUUGUUAAGUCAGAUGUGAAAGCCCGGGGCUCAACCUCGGAAUAGCAUUUGAAACUGGCAGACUAGAGUACUGUAGAGGGGGGUAGAAUUUCAGGUGUAGCGGUGAAAUGCGUAGAGAUCUGAAGGAAUACCGGUGGCGAAGGCGGCCCCCUGGACAGAUACUGACACUCAGAUGCGAAAGCGUGGGGAGCAAACAGGAUUAGAUACCCUGGUAGUCCACGCCGUAAACGAUGUCUACUUGGAGGUUGUGGCCUUGAGCCGUGGCUUUCGGAGCUAACGCGUUAAGUAGACCGCCUGGGGAGUACGGUCGCAAGAUUAAAACUCAAAUGAAUUGACGGGGGCCCGCACAAGCGGUGGAGCAUGUGGUUUAAUUCGAUGCAACGCGAAGAACCUUACCUACUCUUGACAUCCAGAGAACUUUCCAGAGAUGGAUUGGUGCCUUCGGGAACUCUGAGACAGGUGCUGCAUGGCUGUCGUCAGCUCGUGUUGUGAAAUGUUGGGUUAAGUCCCGCAACGAGCGCAACCCUUAUCCUUGUUUGCCAGCGAGUAAUGUCGGGAACUCCAGGGAGACUGCCGGUGAUAAACCGGAGGAAGGUGGGGACGACGUCAAGUCAUCAUGGCCCUUACGAGUAGGGCUACACACGUGCUACAAUGGCGCAUACAGAGGGCGGCCAACUUGCGAAAGUGAGCGAAUCCCAAAAAGUGCGUCGUAGUCCGGAUUGGAGUCUGCAACUCGACUCCAUGAAGUCGGAAUCGCUAGUAAUCGUGGAUCAGAAUGCCACGGUGAAUACGUUCCCGGGCCUUGUACACACCGCCCGUCACACCAUGGGAGUGGGCUGCAAAAGAAGUAGGUAGUUUAACCUUCGGGGGGACGC
rnacentral:rRNA from 1 species